UAUUAGAUUAUCUUUAUGAGCAGUUUAAAAUUAUUAUGAAUUCUGGAUUCUAAACUUAAAUCUAAUACUUAAUUUAUCCUUAUUAGUUGUUGAUAGUACGAACAUUGCACAGAGGUAACAGCGGUGAGAAUAUUGGUGUGAAUUGAAGAUCGAUUAUUGAAGAUUGUGACGCAGUGCGUGAUAGACCUACCAAAUCCCUGCAGGCUUAUACUAAGGCAGAUAUUACAUACGUACCGUACAGGACCGCUUUCCGGAUAUAACGGGACAUUGUAAAAGACACUAAACG